rnacentral:rRNA from 1 species
GGGGCGGGCGGCUGCCUAAUACAUGCAAGUCGUACGCUUCUUUUUCCACCGGGAGCUUGCUCCACCGGAAAAAGAAGAGUGGCGAACGGGUGAGUAACACGUGGGUAACCUGCCCAUCAGAAGGGGAUAACACUUGGAAACAGGUGCUAAUACCGUAUAACAAUCGAAACCGCAUGGUUUUGAUUUGAAAGGCGCUUUCGGGUGUCGCUGAUGGAUGGACCCCCGGUGCAUUAACUAGUUGGUGAUGUAACGGCUCACCGGGGCACCAUGGUAACCCACCUGAUAGAGGAUUUCGGCCUCUUUUGGACUUUGCACACGGUUUGCCCCCGCCAACUUUUAGGAACAAUGCCCGAAUUCUUCGGGGAUGGAAAAUGUCUGAUUGAGCACCGUCGCGUGAUUGAACCAGGUUUUCGGAUCGUAGAAUUCUGUUGUUAGAGGAGAACACGGAUGAUUGUACCUGUUCAUCCAUUGACUGUCUCUAACCGGAUCGCCGCGGCUAAAUACGUGCCAGCUUCCUUCGCUAUUACUUUCGGUUUCAAGCGUUGUCCGGAUUUAUUGGGCGUACCCCGAGCAGUUCCCUUUUUUCUUAAAUCUGACGUGCAAGCCCCCCGGCUCAGCCGGGGUAGGGUCCUUUGGAUGCUGCAAUGACAUGGAGUGAAAACCACGAGAGUGUAGCUCCCAUGUGUUUACGGUGAUGUGCAUACAUGUAUGCAAGGACCAGCUUGCUCCG